rnacentral:rRNA from 1 species
UACGUAGGUGGCGAGCGUUGUCCGGAUUUACUGGGCGUAAAGGGGGCGUAGGCGGACUUUUAAGUGAGAUGUGAAAUACCCGGGCUCAACUUGGGUGCUGCAUUUCAAACUGGAAGUCUAGAGUGCAGGAGAGGAGAAUGGAAUUCCUAGUGUAGCGGUGAAAUGCGUAGAGAUUAGGAAGAACACCAGUGGCGAAGGCGAUUCUCUGGACUGUAACUGACGCUGAGGCUCGAAAGCGUGGGGAGCAAACAGG